UGGCUUUUCCAGCCAUUGCUACUGGGAAUGGAGCAGGAGGCCAGAACCUCACCUGGUGCAGAGCAGCAGAGGACACCCAUUUCUACCUGUUAAGGAGCCAGGCCAGUAUCAGCCAGGAUUAUUGUAUUUUUCCCUUGGGAACACUGUCCUGUGCCUCAUCCCCACGCGUGUUUCUUUGGCUGAGGGCAGUGGAGAGCUUCCAGUUCUCAUAAUUGUGCUGUAAUUGGGGCAUUCCUCAGCCUCGCCCCAGGGCCCAGCAGCACAUCCUGCACCUCCACCCAUCCACUGGUCCUGACAUUGGCCCCGGUUCUGCUCCUCCAUGCUCCAAACUUUGCUCCCUGACUAAAAUUCCUUCAGCUUUGGGGAAGGUGGGUGUGAUGUGUGAGAAACAGGGAGCAGAGAGGUACCUUGACAGUGAGAGGGAAGCCAAGCAGGAAUGCAUCUCAGAGGCCUCUUGAGCAGAAGCCAUCUCCUGUGAUGGCCCACGGCUACAGCUAAUGAUGAAAAGUUCUGAAGAAGGCUUUGUUUCCAUGAAACCUCCCUGCAUUUUCCAGCUAUUCCAGUCGGUCAGGAGGAUGAAGCCAAAGUGGGACUUAUUCCAGUUCUACACCAGCAUGCCGAGUGCAAGCAGAAGCACUUUCACUGCAAGGAGAGCUCAUCUUGGAUGGGACUGGGAGUGCUGGCAGUGCAGGGACAGCCCAAUAGGACUGAAUGGGGAUGUGGAAGUCCUGGGAGCGUGCCCAGGCACCGGCUCUGCCAGCCCACAGGCAUUCAUAGAUUACAAACCGUGCUCUCAAAUCGUCUCACGGCGUCUAAAAUAAACUCAGGUCUGAACACCACCUGGCGUUGAGACCCGUAAGUGCA